UACUCCUACGGGAGGCAGCAGUGAGGAAUAUUGCACAAUGGGCGAAAGCCUGAUGCAGCCAUGCCGCGUGUAUGAAGAAGGCCUUCGCGUUGUAAAGCACUUUCAGUAAGGAGGAAAGGGUAGUCUUUAAUAGAGGCUAACCGUGACGUUACUUACAGAAGAAGCACCGGCUAACUCCGUGCCAGCAGCCGCGGUAA
rnacentral:rRNA from 1 species